rnacentral:tRNA from 1 species
UCGACCUUAGCUCAGUUGGUAGAGCGGAGGACUGUAGUGGGAAGAGAAGUCCUCAUCAUUAGGUCGCUGGUUCGAAUCCGGCAGGUCGGA